rnacentral:rRNA from 1 species
GGUUGAUCCUGCCAGUAGUCAUAUGCUUGUUUAAAGGAUUAAGCCAUGCAUGUGUAAGUAUAGAGUGAUUCUAACUUGAAACUGCGAACGGCUCAUUAAACCAGUUAUAAUCAACUUGGUGAAUUGAAGGUAAAUGGAUACCUGUAGUAAUUCUAGAGCUAAUACAUGAGAAAGAUCCAGACUUUUGGGAAUGGAUGUAUUUAUUAGAUACGAAAUUGAUGGGGAGGUAAAACUCUUCUUUUGAUGAUUCAUAGUAACUAGACGAAGCGUUUAUUAAAACGCUGAUACAAAC